rfam:Triticum urartu cultivar G1812 contig43417, whole genome shotgun sequence.
AUACUACUCCCUCCAUCCAGAAAUACUUGUCAUGAAAAUGGAUAAAAGUGGAUGCAUGUAGAACUAAAAAUAUGUCUAGAUACAACCAUUUCUUCGACAAGUAUUUUUGGACGGAGGGAGUAUUUC